rnacentral:rRNA from 1 species
GCUUGAGCACGUAGGUGGGUUUGUAGGUCAGGUGUGAAAGCCUUCUGUUCAACGGAAGAAUUGCAUCUGAAACUACAAGUCUUGAGUGUAGGAGGGGAGAAUGGAACUUCUGGUGGAGCGGUGAAAUCCGUAGAUAUCAGAAGGAACGCCGGCGGCGAAAGCGAUUCUCUGGCCUAUUACUGACACUCAGUGUGCGAAAGCUAGGGGAGCAAACGGGAUUAGAUACCCCGGUAGUCCUAGCCGUAAACGAUGGGCACUAAGUAGAGGGGAUUACCGACGUUCUCUCUGCCGUAGCUAACGCAUUAAGUGCCCCGCCUGGGGAGUACGGCCGCAAGGCUAAGACUCAAAAGAAUUGACGGGGGCUCGCACAAGCGGUGGAGCAUGUGGCUUAAUUCGAUGCAACGCGAAGAACCUUACCGGGGCUUGACAUGGUAGAAGUAGGAACCCGAAGGGUAACGAACGGUAUCCAGUCCGUGACUAUCACAGGUGUUGCAUGGCUGUCGUCAGCUCGUGUCGUGAGACGUUGGGUUAAGUCCCCUAACGAGCGAAACCCUUGUUUUUAGUUACCAGCGGGUUAUGCCGGGUACUCUAGAAAGACUGCCGUCGUCAAGACGGAGGAAGGUGGGGAUGACGUCAAGUCAUCAUGGCCCUUAUGCCCCGGGCUGCACACGUGCUACAAUGGUCGGUACAAACGGAAGCGAAGCCGAGAGGUGAAGCGAAUCCAAGC